ACUUUUGGUUAUCAGAAAGGUGUGCAGCUCCCUGCCUGUAUGGGUAAAGUAGAGUAAAUAAGUCAUUCAUCAACUAGGUCUAAUGUACUUCUGUAAAAUUUAGCAGGAGCGUUGACUCUGUGAGCAU